AAUUAGCCCCGAUUGAAGUGAAAAUCCUUUUUGUUCGCCUUUUCGGCGAAUAAAAAGAUUGUAACGAAAAGCGGGAAAUAGC
rnacentral:sRNA from 1 species